AAAAACCUCUGGGUGUGCAUCUGAAAAUCUGCGUGUGUCACAGGCAGGCAAGAUAACCAGAAACGCUGGGGAAUUCAGGUGCUGUAAUCGACUCAUCUCGUUAUAGAUCAAGAUAAUUUAUGAAGAUCUUUAAACGAAGGAUUGGAAUAUCAGAUAGUUGACAUGGUGUGCCACUCUGGGUGGCUCCGGCACACUCGUGGCUACGCCCCGCCGUGACCCAAAUCUCAUUCGCACAUCAUCGCGAUAUUUAUCAUCAAUUUACAAAUGUCAUCACAUCUCGAUCAAGUACAGUACCAGAUGGCUUGAUGGGUUUGGGCUCACAGACGGGGAAGGAAUGGAAAGGCUGUGGUCUUUCCUCCAAAGAUUUGCCAGAGUCACAAAGGAGAUGACUCCAUCUCAUCGCCUUGACCUACUGACUGAUGUCCGCCUUGACGGAGGAAAUCAACUGACCUAGAGGUGCAGCUCCUGCAAAGAGUAGACAAAGCAGAGAAAAUAUUGCUCAAGAAGAUAUCUCAUCUGUCAUCAGAGAGGCACCAGUGUUGAUUUCUGAAGGAGACAUGGCGAGAUGGAAAAAAGCUAGCCCAACAGAAACCAAUAAUGGUACUGUGGUAGUAAUGUCGUCUUUUCUUCAGAGACUCUGUCUGUAGAUGGAAAAGCGACUACAUCAUCAGACUGAUUCAUUU